UUGCAGAUCAGACGAUGACUGUUCAGAGCCAAAUCUCCAAAGAGCAAAAGAAAAGAACAAAACCAUCAAGGUUCUCUGGAGGUCACCAGGUUCCUAACCACCUUUAGUACCACAAUCUUGCUCUCAUGAUUCCUCAGUUUGGGAAUCGUUUGUCUACAGGAAGAGUGCUUGUUGCUCCAAAUGUGCUCAAUAUGUCGUUAGACUGAUAGAAGCGGUGUGGGCAGCGCUCGACACACAGCUUGGUGCCUUUCAGCUCCAGCAGAGGAGGGGAACAUGCCCUGCAAGACUCGGGC